CCUACGGGAGGCAGCAGUGGGGGAUAUUGCACAAUGGGGGGAACCCUGAUGCAGCGACGCCGCGUGGGUGAAGAAGGGCCUCGGCGCGUAAAGCCCUGUCAGCAGGGAAGAAAAUGACGGUACCUGAAGAAGAAGCCCCGGCGAACGACGUGCCAGCAGCCGCGGUAAUACGUAGGGGGCAAGCGUUAUCCGGAUUUACUGGGUGUAAAGGGGGCGCAGACGGCGCGGCACGCCAGGAGUGAAAGCCCGGGGCCCAACCCCGGGACUGCUCUUGGAACUGCGUGGCUGGAGUGCAGGAGGGGCAGGCUGAAUUCCUGGUGUAGCGGUGAAAUGCGUAGAUAUCAGGCGGAACCCCGGUGGCGAAGGCGGCCUGCUGGACUGCACCUGCCGUUGAGGCCCGAACGCGUGGGGAGCAAACAGGAUUAGCUACCCUUGUAGUC
rnacentral:rRNA from 1 species